rnacentral:rRNA from 1 species
GGGUCAGUAGGUUGGUCGUGCCACCGGUACGUACUGGUCUCACUGGUUCCUCCUUCCUGUAGAACCGUAAUGCCAUUAAUUUGGUGUUGCGGGGAAACAGGACUGUUACUUUGAAAAAAUUAGAGUGUUUAAAGCAAGCUAACGCUUGAAUACAUUAGCAUGGAAUAAUGAAAUAGGACGAUCGAUCCUAUUUUGUUGGUUUCUAGGAUUGACGUA